rnacentral:rRNA from 1 species
UACGGGGGGGGCAAGCGUUGUUCGGAAUUACUGGGCGUAAAGGGCUCGUAGGCGGUCUGUUGCGUCAGGAGUGAAAACUCGGGGCUUAACCCCGAGCCUGCUUCUGAUACGGGCAGACUAGAGGUAUGCAGGGGAGAACGGAAUUCCUGGUGUAGCGGUGAAAUGCGUAGAUAUCGGGAGGAACGCCGGUGGCGAAAGCGACUGUCUGGGGUGCUUGUGACGCUGAGGCGCGAAAGCCAGGGGAUCAAACGGG